rnacentral:lncRNA from 1 species
UCUCUCUCUCUCUCUCUCUCUCUCUCUCUCUCUCUGUUGGCUAAUGAGGAUAUGCUCAACUCUCUGCGUCUGUCUUUCUUCUGAUAUAUAUAUAUAUAUAUAUAGAUGACUCUGCGCACUCCUAACGAUAUUGGGGAAAUUACCGUGGAACUUCGAAGCAUGUAACUGAGGAUAAAAUGAAGGGGAGCGACGGUGGGGGGCUAUUUAUACUGGUGGGGAGGUGAAGAGAGAGAAAGGCUGGUGAAGUGAAGGGUUACUUCUCGCUUUAGAAUCCCUUUCCUUACUCCCCUCCUUUUGUAGCUCAUCAAUCACAGAGAGCAGACAGAACAGAACAGAACAGAACAGAACAGAAUAGAACGGAGAGCGGUGUGCAUAUAUAGCUGUUAAUAUAUGUAUAUAAAAACAGGGUAGUGGGGUGGGAGAGUGUUUCAGAAUAGAAAUGGCGGCUGUGGCUGCGCGGUCCCUCUGCCGUCUUCCUGCGUCGCAGGUGCAUCCAUCAUCCAUCUCCAUGCCAUCAUUGCUUGCUCACAUACCAUGCUAUGACUUUAUGCUAAUAUGCACGCAUACAUUCUGGCAUUUUUGGCAUGAUAGAUAGAUCCACGGUAUGAUGAUGUACAUGCAUAGCAUGGAGGGAUGGGUAGUUCAACGGACGAGCGACAUAGGAGGCGGCGUGGCACGAAGGGCGCCACUGGCUACGUGGAGACGCCGAGCUCAGCCACGGUUCUGUUGCCACGUGGGCGGCGAGGCGGCGUUUAACGGCGCAUCAUAUAAUAUCAUGAUGGAGGGGGAGGGGGAGGGGGAGGGUGGGGCACGUGACAAACCCAGUCAAUGAUGUGCCAGUGAUGGCGGCAGAGCACCGAACGCCAUCUGCCACGAGAUUGACGGAGGCUCGCUGGCGCUUCCUCGUACUUUGGCGAACCGCAGAGCUUCUUUACGUGUUUGGUGGUUUCCCCAUUCCACAUGAGCUUUGCCAGUUGGUUGAAGCGGGGUAACGUAUGCGGACGCUGUUCCUUCGGCAGCCGUUCGUUGAGGAGGGGUCGAGGGUGGGGUUUGGAAUUGAUUGCAGGCGUUUCGAGUCAGAUGGUGGGGCAAUGAUUGGGGAUGACCUCCCCAUCAUUUGUUUCUACCCACGCAUCCCACCCAUUCACCCUACCUUAGUUAACCGCGAGACCAAAGAAGGUAAAAACAUUCCGAUCCGAGUAGCUUAAGGGUUAGUCAAGUAUGGAUUUGGGUAAGGUGGUUGCUGCUGCGUCACUGAAUUUGUCAGCUCCACCUCGUCUGAUCUCCCACGUUCCAUAUUCCAUCGCCAGUUUACCAUUUGGAUCUUCCUGGUCGGGCCCACCUAUUUGUUUCUUGUGCUGUGUCUUUUGGCUUUCUUCCCCCUCCCCCUCCCCACCCUACCCUUCGCCUUCUCGCCUUUUUCUUGUCCUGGCGUAGGGUCCGUCGACGUACCAAAUUCCGUCCGCGGAAAUGAUAUGUGAACAAGAUGAGCCACAUCCUUCAACCUAAUCAUAUCUAAUCUCUCACCUGUCUGAGCUCCACGAGCAUCGUUCGAUGGUCGAGUCCUCUCGAUGUGCUCAGAGAUGCCAUCAAUCCCCAAAUUUCGAUUCACAAUCUAAAUCAGGUCCAAUUCGGAUCGGUCGAUCUGCUUCGAUCCCAAUCUAAGACUGGCCCUACCCUCGUAACUCAACUUAGCAGUCAAAGCUCCAAGUCAAAUCAGGUUGGACUCACAUCGGCAUCAUUUUUUGGAUAAAGAUCAAAGAGCCAUCGGAGUCAUAUAUCUUGAUAAGGGUAAAAAUGAUGACGUAAUGCGCCCUAACGUCAGUCAUACCUGGACGACACACUGCCCGAGGAAGGGGACAUUAACGCCGACUUGAUAUGCGCCAGCAUCACCCGCUUCCAGUCAACGACUCCACCGUCUGACCCCGCGAGCUCAGCCGAGGUAGAGGGGGACGUCGACCGAGGCUCGCCCAUACCCUGCGGUAGCCGGUUCUCCACGCAAUCCCAGUGGCAAUGCCAGACACU